GAGACACCCCUAUGGAGCAGGACUUGCUUCAAUGGGGCUUUGGUGCUUAUUGAGUCUGUCCCUUGGGUGUGUCAUU
rnacentral:pre_miRNA from 1 species